rnacentral:lncRNA from 1 species
GCAAGGGACAAUUAUAUAAACCCCCUCUCCCUGCACCCACCUCCCUCCCAUGUUGGUUUAAUCCUUGGGCUGUUUCCUGCCUGCCCCCCUGGGAAAUGCUGAUCUCCUAAAGGUAGCAACAAAUGAUGGGAUCAUUAUUAAACUAAGAUGAAGUUGUUGGAAGGGCCUUGGAGGAACAUGAGCAUAAUACUACUGGGAGAACUAAACGCCAACUCAUCCAUGCCCUCUGUGCUGAACUUGGUCUCAGCCUGCUGAAAUCACCUGCACCCCAUGGGAACUGUAGUCGUAUCUUCAGUCCUGGGAGCCUCCGCGUGCCCUGUCACAGGAGUAAAUGAGGAGUAAUGUGAGGGACGGCACUAAAGAGAGGAUAACUAAUCAAUCAAUCUAUCAUCAAUUUCGACCAAGCCUCUCCAGUUGUGCUUGGCUCCUCUGAGGUUAGGAGACAUGAAGAAGGCCCAGAAUAUUCAGUACCUCUUAAUGACCCUCAGACAAUGUAGGAAGGAGAUUGGUUCACCUUUUAACCCAGAAUUUCUCACAUUUAAUGAUGAUUCAGGUUAA